GACGAACGCUGGCGGCGUGCCUAAUACAUGCAAGUAGAACGCUGAAGGAGGAGCUUGCUUCUCUGGAUGAGUUGCGAACGGGUGAGUAACGCGUAGGUAACCUGCCUGGUAGCGGGGGAUAACUAUUGGAAACGAUAGCUAAUACCGCAUAAGAGUAGAUGUUGCAUGACAUUUGCUUAAAAGGUGCAAUUGCAUCACUACCAGAUGGACCUGCGUUGUAUUAGCUAGUUGGUGGGGUAACGGCUCACCAAGGCGACGAUACGUAGCCGACCUGAGAGGGUGAUCGGCCACACUGGGACUGAGACACGGCCCAGACUCCUACGGGAGGCAGCAGUAGGGAAUCUUCGGCAAUGGACGGAAGUCUGACCGAGCAACGCCGCGUGAGUGAAGAAGGUUUUCGGAUCGUAAAGCUCUGUUGUAAGAGAAGAACGAGAGUGAGAGUGGAAAGUUCACACUGUGACGGUAUCUUACCAGAAAGGGACGGCUAACUACGUG
rnacentral:rRNA from 1 species